UACGUAGGGUGCGAGCGUUAAUCGGAAUUACUGGGCGUAAAGUGUGCGCAGGCGGCCGAGCAAGUCGAGUGUGAAAAGCCCCCGAGCUUAACUUGGGAACUGCGCUCGAAACUACUUGGCUAGAGUGUGGCAGAGGGAGGUGGAAUUCCACGUGUAGCGGUGAAAAUGCGUAGAGAUGUGGAGGAACACCGAUGGCGAAGGGCAGCCUCCUGGCAACACUGACGCUCAUCGCACGAAAGCGUGGGAG
rnacentral:rRNA from 1 species